GUGGGGAAUAUUGCACAAUGGGCGCAAGCCUGAUGCAGCCAUGCCGCGUGUAUGAAGAAGGCCUUCGGGUUGUAAAGUACUUUCAGCGGGGAGGAAGGUGUUGUGGUUAAUAACCACAGCAAUUGACGUUACCCGCAGAAGAAGCACCGGCUAACUCCGUGCCAGCAGCCGCGGUAAUACGGAGGGUGCAAGCGUUAAUCGGAAUUACUGGGCGUAAAGCGCACGCAGGCGGUCUGUCAAGUCGGAUGUGAAAUCCCCGGGCUCAACCUGGGAACUGCAUUCGAAACUGGCAGGCUAGAGUCUUGUAGAGGGGGGUAGAAUUCCAGGUGUAGCGGUGAAAUGCGUAGAGAUCUGGAGGAAUACCGGUGGCGAAGGCGGCCCCCUGGACAAAGACUGACGCUCAGGUGCGAAAGCGUGGGGAGCAAACAGGAUUAGAUACCCCAGUAGUCC
rnacentral:rRNA from 1 species